UCUUAGGUAGUAUAGUGGUUAGUAUUCGCGCCUGUCAGAGUAGGAGUUUAACUCUAGAUCGUGCGAGACCGGGGUUCAAUUCCCCGCCUGAGAG
rfam:Sphaerobolus stellatus SS14 unplaced genomic scaffold SPHSTscaffold_79, whole genome shotgun sequence.